GGGAGUUGGAUCCUGGCUCAGAUUGACGCUGGCGGCAGGCCUAACACAUGCAAGUCGAACGGUAACAGGAAGCAGCUUGCUGCUUCGCUGACGAGUGGCGGACGGGUGAGUAAUGUCUGGGAAACUGCCUGAUGGAGGGGGAUAACUACUGGAAACGGUGGCUAAUACCGCAUAACGUCGCAAGACCAAAGAGGGGGACCUUCGGGCCUCUUGCCAUCAGAUGUGCCCAGAUGGGAUUAGCUUGUUGGUGAGGUAACGGCUCACCAAGGCGACGAUCCCUAGCUGGUCUGAGAGGAUGACCAGCCACACUGGAACUGAGACACGGUCCAGACUCCUACGGGAGGCAGCAGUGGGGAAUAUUGCACAAUGGGCGCAAGCCUGAUGCAGCCAUGCCGCGUGUAUGAAGAAGGCCUUCGGGUUGUAAAGUACUUUCAGCGGGGAGGAAGGUGUUGUGGUUAAUAACCGCAGCAAUUGACGUUACCCGCAGAAGAAGCACCGGCUAACUCCGUGCCAGCCGCCGCGGUAAUU
rnacentral:rRNA from 1 species